AGUGAACGCUGGCGGUAGGCCUAACACAUGCAAGUCGAACGGCAGCACAGUAAGAGCUUGCUCUUACGGGUGGCGAGUGGCGGACGGGUGAGGAAUACAUCGGAAUCUACUUUUUCGUGGGGGAUAACGUAGGGAAACUUACGCUAAUACCGCAUACGACCUACGGGUGAAAGCAGGGGAUCUUCGGACCUUGCGCGAUUGAAUGAGACGAUGUCGGAUUAGCUAGUUGGCGGGGUAAAGGCCCACAAAGGCGACGAUCCGUAGCUGGUCUGAGAGGAUGAUCAGCCACACUGGAACUGAGACACGGUCCAGACUCCUACGGGAGGCAGCAGUGGGGAAUAUUGGACAAUGGGCGCAAGCCUGAUCCAGCCAUACCGCGUGGGUGAAGAAGGCCUUCGGGUUGUAAAGCCCUUUUGUUGGGAAAGAAAAGCAGCAGGUUAAUACCCCGCUGUUCUGACGGUACCCAAAGAAUAAGCACCGGCUAACUUCGUG
rnacentral:rRNA from 1 species